rnacentral:rRNA from 2 species
GCAAGUCGAGCGGACAGAAGGGAGCUUGCUCCCGGAUGUUAGCGGCGGACGGGUGAGUAACACGUGGGUAACCUGCCUGUAAGACUGGGAUAACUCCGGGAAACCGGAGCUAAUACCGGAUAGUUCCUUGAACCGCAUGGUUCAAGGAUGAAAGACGGUUUCGGCUGUCACUUACAGAUGGACCCGCGGCGCAUUAGCUAGUUGGUGAGGUAACGGCUCACCAAGGCGACGAUGCGUAGCCGACCUGAGAGGGUGAUCGGCCACACUGGGACUGAGACACGGCCCAGACUCCUACGGGAGGCAGCAGUAGGGAAUCUUCCGCAAUGGACGAAAGUCUGACGGAGCAACGCCGCGUGAGUGAUGAAGGUUUUCGGAUCGUAAAGCUCUGUUGUUAGGGAAGAACAAGUGCAAGAGUAACUGCUUGCACCUUGACGGUACCUAACCAGAAAGCCACGGCUAACUACGUGCCAGCAGCCGCGGUAAUACGUAGGUGGCAAGCGUUGUCCGGAAUUAUUGGGCGUAAAGGGCUCGCAGGCGGUUUCUUAAGUCUGAUGUGAAAGCCCCCGGCUCAACCGGGGAGGGUCAUUGGAAACUGGGAAACUUGAGUGCAGAAGAGGAGAGUGGAAUUCCACGUGUAGCGGUGAAAUGCGUAGAGAUGUGGAGGAACACCAGUGGCGAAGGCGACUCUCUGGUCUGUAACUGACGCUGAGGAGCGAAAGCGUGGGGAGCGAACAGGAUUAGAUACCCUGGUAGUCCACGCCGUAAACGAUGAGUGCUAAGUGUUAGGGGGGUUUCCGCCCCUUAGUGCUGCAGCUAACGCAUUAAGCACUCCGCCUGGGAGUACGGUCGCAAGACUGAAACUCAAAGGAAUUGACGGGGGGCCCGCACAAGCG